rnacentral:rRNA from 1 species
GUCGAGCGGAACGAGUUCACUGAACCUUCGGGGAACGUGAACGGCGUCGAGCGGCGGACGGGUGAGUAAUGCCUGGGAAAUUGCCCUGAUGUGGGGGAUAACCAUUGGAAACGAUGGCUAAUACCGCAUAAUAGCUUCGGCUCAAAGAGGGGGACCUUCGGGCCUCUCGCGUCAGGAUAUGCCCAGGUGGGAUUAGCUAGUUGGUGAGGUAAGGGCUCACCAAGGCAACGAUCCCUAGCUGGUCUGAGAGGAUGAUCAGCCACACUGGAACUGAGACACGGUCCAGACUCCUACGGGAGGCAGCAGUGGGGAAUAUUGCACAAUGGGCGCAAGCCUGAUGCAGCCAUGCCGCGUGUAUGAAGAAGGCCUUCGGGUUGUAAAGUACUUUCAGCAGUGAGGAAGGUAUCGUAGUUAAUAGCUGCGGUAUUUGACGUUAGCUGCAGAAGAAGCACCGGCUAACUCCGUGCCAGCAGCCGCGGUAAUACGGAGGGUGCGAGCGUUAAUCGGAAUUACUGGGCGUAAAGCGCAUGCAGGUGGUUUGUUAAGUCAGAUGUGAAAGCCCGGGGCUCAACCUCGGAAUUGCAUUUGAAACUGGCA